CUAAAGUUGAAUGUACUGUUUUAUGCUACAAGUGAUUUUCAUUUUCUUAGUUUUGCUAUUAUAUCUUGUGAUUUGUGUUGGGCAUCUUAUAUUAUAUAUCUACAAAAUGAACUAAUACAAUUUGAAUGUUAGUUGAUUUUUUAUCAAGAACUUUGUUGCUGCAAUUGUACAAGGUCUAGGUAAUUAAAAUUUAAGAAUAUGAGUGAUACGCCAUCAUCAAAUGCUGGUUCUCCUACUGGUCCUUGUACUCCAACCACUGCUAGUACUCCAGAUGUCUCUAUUGGGUCUACUAGUUGCUCAUCAACAUCUGCUCGGUUGGUCAUCUCAGUUGUAGCGGAAAAAUUCGUUCCUAAUGGUCAUUCUAUCUCGAAGACCAUCACAGAAACUUUCAAGGAACGACAAGAUGCUACUGGCUACUCAUGGAAGGAUGUCAGUCAAUCAACUCGUAAAUUUUAUUGGCAUGAAUUUUUGAAAUCAUAUUAGUGGAAUCCUACUGAAAAUUCUAUAAUGGAACGUACAUGGAAUAAGGUGGCAUCCACUUUAUACUCCAAGAAAAUGUAUAUUUGGCGAAAAGGUACAGUCAAACCUAAUUUUGUUUUGGAGGAUAUUUGGAGAAGUUGGAAGACGCAUUGGGCCUCAGAUGAAUGGAUGGAUAAAUCUCGUAUCGCCACUCGAAAUCGAUGUAGUGAGACUGGUGGACUAGGCACUGGUCCAAGCAAGCAUACCGGUGGUUCUAGAUCAACAGUGGAGCAUACUAUAAAAUUGGCAAUAGAACUACGUCGUCCACCAAAUUCCGUGGGAUAUAUUUAAGAAGUUGCAUAAAAGAAAGGAUGGCAGCUUUGUUGAUGCCAAGUACUAAAUGCAUUAAUGAUAAAAUGGAGGUUGUCUUAGCUGCUGCUAUUUCUAGCUCCUCAGAUGAUUCACAAGAAGUUCAAGAACUUGAUAUAAAUAACUUAUACUUUGAUGUUGUGGGUGGAGAAAAAAAACGACGUGUGUAUGGUUUAGGCUCUCAAGGUUUGGCGUUGUAUCAAGAUCAAAAUUCUAUCACUUCGCGCAAUUUACCUGCGGUGUCUGAUGAUGUUGCUGAAAAGCGCAUUAAACUACUUGAGGAAGAAGUGUUGCAUAUGAGAGAAAAUCAAGAGAGAGUUCUUCAAGAACGUUUAGAGGCGGAGGUGCAACAAUGAGUAGAGCACGAGGUCUCGCGUUUGAGGCAACAAAGUGAUGAUCGAUUCAAGUCUAUGGAGGAACGAUGGUCUCGCAUGAUGAGCGAGAUGGCGUUAUCCUCACGCUCAUCUAGUAAUCCUUCUCCUUAAUAGGAAAUGACCAAAUGUUUAUGUGUUUAAAUAUUUGUACACUUUUGCUUAUUGAAGUUGUGCUUUGACAUGUUUUAACUUCAUAAUUUUGUAUUAUAAA